CCAGACUCCUACGGGAGGCAGCAGUGGGGAAUAUUGCACAAUGGGGGAAACCCUGACGCAGCAACGCCGCGUGAGUGAGGAAGUAUUUCGGUAUGUAAAGCUCUAUCAGCAGGGAAUAGAAAAGAAGGUACCUGAAAAAGAAGCCCCGGCUAACUACGUGCCAGCAGCCGCGGUAAUACAUAGGGUGCAAGCGUUAUCCGGAUUUACUGGGCGUAAAACGAGCGCAGGCGGGUUAACAAGUUUGGUAUGAAAGGCUUUUGCUUAACGAAAGUGUGUAUCAAAAACUGUUAAUCUAGAGUGUAGUAGAGAGUUCUGGAAUUCCAUGUGGAGCGGUGGAAUGCGUAGAUAUAUGGAAGAACACCAGUGGCGAAGGCGAGAACUUAGGCUAUCACUGACGCUUAGGCUCGAAAGUGUGGGGAGCAAAUAGGAUUAGAUACCCGGGUAGAC
rnacentral:rRNA from 1 species